rnacentral:rRNA from 1 species
CUUGCUUUUUUUUGAAUCUAGUGGCAAACGGGUGAGUAACACGUAAACAACCUGCCUUCAGGAUGGGGACAACAGACGGAAACGACUGCUAAUACCGAAUGUGUUCCGGAGACCGCAUGAUUUCCGGAAGAAAGGAUGGCCUCUAUUUAUAAGCUAUCGCCUGAAGAGGGGUUUGCGUCUGAUUAGGCAGUUGGUGAGGUAACGGCCCACCAAACCUACGAUCAGUAGCCGGUCUGAGAGGAUGAACGGCCACACUGGAACUGAGACACGGUCCAGACUCCUACGGGAGGCAGCAGUGGGGAAUCUUCCGCAAUGGACGAAAGUCUGACGGAGCAACGCCGCGUGAGUGAUGACGGCCUUCGGGUUGUAAAGCUCUGUGAUCGGGGACGAAUGGCUGGUAUGCUAAUACCAUAUCAGAGUGACGGUACCCGAAUAGCAAGCCACGGCUAACUACGUGCCAGCAGCCGCGGUAAUACGUAGGUGGCAAGCGUUGUCCGGAAUUAUUGGGCGUAAAGCGCGCGCAGGCGGCUUCUUAAGUCCAUCUUAAAAGUGCGGGGCUUAACCCCGUGAUGGGAUGGAAACUGGGAGGCUGGAGUAUCGGAGAGGAAAGUGGAAUUCCUAGUGUAGCGGUGAAAUGCGUAGAGAUUAGGA